rnacentral:rRNA from 1 species
UGCCAGCAGCCGCGGUAAUACAGAGGGUGCGAGCGUUAAUCGGAUUUACUGGGCGUAAAGCGUGCGUAGGCGGCUUUUUAAGUCGGAUGUGAAAUCCCCGAGCUUAACUUGGGAAUUGCAUUCGAUACUGGGAAGCUAGAGUAUGGGAGAGGAUGGUAGAAUUCCAGGUGUAGCGGUGAAAUGCGUAGAGAUCUGGAGGAAUACCGAUGGCGAAGGCAGCCAUCUGGCCUAAUACUGACCGCGUGAGGUACGAAAGCAUGGGGAGCAAACAGGAUUAUGAUACCCUGGUWMGUCCAAGGGCCGAAUUUGUUUAACNCCUGCAGAGACUAGUCCCCUUU